rnacentral:lncRNA from 1 species
CAAAUAUUUUACAGAACACCAGAAGAUUAUUAUUCCCAACUACAAAAGACUACUCUUUUUUUGUUUCAAAUUAAGAAAAGCUACUCAGAAUUGCAUUUUUAUUUCCAAAAAUCCACUCAACAAUACACUGGGUUAAAAAAUCCAUGAUUAUUGAUAUCGGAUCAUUCUCUUGUAUCAUGCUUAAUUACACCAACAUAAAAUACACUUAGUGUCAGAAUAUGGAGAAUGAACAGAGUGCAUCUUCAAUACCCAAAAUGUAUUAAAUAUGUAAAUAAAAAAAUAAAGACCUUUACCAUAAAAAAAAUUGACAUAGAGGCCAGAAACAAAUGAUCUAAUGAUUCUAUCUCUUCGCAGAAACAUCUGCAGAGCUGGGAUGGUUGUAUCCCCAACAUACUGUAUAUAACAUUCUAUUGGUUGUAUCCCCAACAUACUGUAUAUAACAUUCUAUUGGUUGUAUCCCCAACAUACUGUAUAUAACAUUCUAUUGGUUGUAUCCCCAACAUACUGUAUAUAACAUUCUAUUGGUUGUAUCCCCAACAUACUGUAUAUAACAUUCUAUUGGUUGCAAUAAUUGUUUUAUAACUAUCUAAGUUUGAAUCCAGAGUUGUUUUGUGUAUCAGUUCGGUACAUACUGAUGACGUUAAUGUUGAUGUAGCCGAGAUUGCUGUGGCGGAGAGCUCAGGGGCGGGCGUGUUAGUGACUGAACUCCCAGCAGUGGUUACCGAGGGCAGUGGCAAUGCUGACUCCAAGGCUGAUACGCCUGUCUCACAGACAACAGAGAAUGAUGUGCCCAGUGUAAUUACAGACACGCAGGGUGAUGUGCCCAGUGUAAUUACAGACACGCGGGGUGAUGUGCCCAGUGUAAUUACAGACACACAGGGUGAUGUGCCCAGUGUAAUUACAGACACGCGGGGUGAUGUGCCCAGUGUAAUUACAGACGCGCGGGGUGAUGUGCCCAGUGUAAUUACAGACGCACAGGGUGAUGUGCCCAGUGUAAUUACAGACACACAGGGUGAUGUGCCCAGUGUAAUUACUGAUACGCGGGGUGAUGUGCCCAGUGUAAUUACAGACACACAGGGUGAUGUGCCCAGUGUAAUUACAGACACACAGGGUGAUGUGCCCAGUGUAAUUACAGACACGCAGGGUGAUGUGCCCAGUGUAAUUACAGACACGCGGGGUGAUUGUGGGGAGGAGUUGGAGGCAGUUGGGGGGCAGCUGGGGGCUCCGGAUUCCGUGGGGCUGCCCGAUGAGGAUAGAGGAAUGGAGGAACUGUAAAACAGAUUCCACACUAGAUAGGAACUGGGAAGAAGCUCAUCCACAGUUGGAGGUGGCCUUAACCAAUGUGUUGAAACAGCAUGGACUAGUAGACGUGUGGAGACAGGAUCUAUACAUGUGUGAAGGUAGUGAAGGGGAAGAUUAGUGCAGCAAGGCUACAUAGGAUCUAUGUCAGUAAGGGAGAAAGAGGGUUUUGGGCUCCAAGAUUUGCUCUAGUGGCAUCUCAGAAACAUCACAUGUUAAGAACUCCUGUUCUUUCCAUGACAUAGACUGACCAGAUGGAAGAUAUGAUCCCUUAUUGAUGUCACUUGUUAAAUGCACUUCAAUCAGUGUAGAUGAAAGGGAGGAGACAAGUUAAAGAAUGAUUUUUGAGCAGUACUCUGCGCCAGCUAGGAUAAGGUCUACUAUUCAGAGGUUGGAGCCGGAUAUUAGAGACAUUGACUCAGGGUCAGAGACGAAGUUUGAGGGCUAAGCGGACGCAGCUGGGGUCUUUUUUACAAGAUCAGGCAUCCUUCAGGGUCUCUGACGUUGGAUCCAACAGAGAUGAGGAGGAUGACUAUGGUCUUCUACGCAGACCUCUACGGUGACAGCAACACUGUGUGCUCAGGAGAAUUUAGAGGGGUCGCCUAAGCUCAGGCCUGAGCAGAGUGUUGGGCUGGAGGGGGAACUUUAGUUUCAGGAACUAACAGUCGCUGUGCAGCAGCUCUCCCCAGGCUGUGUGCCAUGGGUCGAUGGGCUGACAUCUGAGUAUUAUAACUCUGUGCUACCAGUCAGCUGCCAGUGGGUAGUGCUGUCACUGCUGCCGAACAAUGGGGACUUCCCUAUAUUGAAGAACUGGAGGCUGGUGUCAUUGCUUGGCUUGCAUUACAUGGUGUUUGGCAAAUCGGCUGAAAGGUUGUUUGGACACAAUAGUUCACAGGGUCCAGGCAUACUGUGUGCCUGGGCGGACAAUAAUGGACAACGUGUUUCUUUUGAGAGAUGUGGGAGAUCCAGGCUGUAUCACAUCCAGCCGUGAUUGGGAGUCCCAUAGGGCGGUGCACAAUUGGCUCAGCGUCGUCUGAGUUUGGCCAGAGUAGGCCGUCAUUGUAAAUAAGAAUUUGUUCUUAAUUGACUUGCCUAUUUAAAUAAAGGUUACAUUUUUUAAAAUGUGAUAGACAUCACUAGGAUGUAUGAUCAGGAUCUGGGACUCACUUCGAUAGAUCUAGAAAAGGCUUUUGGUAGAGUGUGUCAUGCGUAUCUGUUUGGAAGUGUUUGGCCUGGGUAGCAGGUUUAGAUCAUGGGUCAAGUUAUUGUACUGUGGGGCUUCUGUUAUGGUAAAAGUGGGGGUCAGCUGAGCCAGCCAGUCCCAGUUAAGAGAGGGAUUUGGCAGGGGUGUCCACUCUCGAGUCAGCUCUACAGUUUAGCCGUAGAAACACUGCUGUGUAGGCUGAGGGAGUGGCUGCGGGGGGUUGUAGGCUGAGGGAGAGGCUGCAGGGGUAGUUUGGUGAGGGAGAGGCUGCAGGGGUUGUAGGCUGAGGGAGAGGCUGCAGGGGUUGUCAGUUCCAGGGGUAGUAGGCUGAGGGAGAGGCUGCAGGGGUUGUCAGUUCCAGGGGUAGUAGGCUAAGGGGGAGGCUGCAGGGGUUGUCAGUUCCAGGGGUAGUAGGCUGAGGGAGAGGCUGCAGGGGUUGUCAGUCCCAGGUGUAGUAGGCUGAGGGAGAGGCUGCAGGGGUUGUCCGUUCCAGGGGUAGUAGGCUGAGGGAGAGGCUGCAGGGGUUGUCAGUUCCAGGCGCAGUAGUUGG